rnacentral:rRNA from 1 species
CCUACGGGAGGCUACGGGAGGCAGCAGUUAGGAAUCUUCGGCAAUGGGCGCAAGCCUGACCGAGCGACGGAGCGUGGAGGAUGAAGGUUUUCGGAUCGUAAUCUCCUGAACCUGCGACGAUAAUGACGGUAGCAGAAUAAUAGCACCGGCUAACUCCAGCACAGCAGCCGCGGUAAUACGGAGGGUGCGAGCGUUAUCCGGAAUCACUGGGCGUAAAGGGAGCGUAGGCGGUUUGUUAAGUCCGAUGUUAAAGCGUGGGGCUCAACCCCAUCACGGCGUUGGAUACUGGCAAGCUUGACGACUGGAGAGGAAGGUAGAAUUACCAGUGUAGCGGUGGAAUGAGUAGAUGAUGGUAGGAAUACCCAUAGCGAAGGCAGCCUUCUGGACAGUUAGUGACGCUGAGGCGCGAAAGUGUGGGGAACAAGCCGGAUUAGAUCACCGGGUAGUCCACUCCCUAAACGAUGCAGGCUUGGUGUUGGCCCGUUGGGGUCAGCGCCGGAGCUAACGCGUUAAGUAUGCCGCCUGGAAGAGGGCAACAGGGC